UAGUCACCUUCUCCUGUGUACAAAAAACAAUAAAGUGACCUUCAUACUCAGGGUUUCUUGUGAGCUUUAGAUCUAAUAUAAAUCAAGAAACAAACAGUCACUAGUGUGUGUGUGUGUGUAUUUGUUUGUGUGUGUGUGUGUGUGUGUGUGUGUGUGUGUGUGUGUGUGUGUGUGUGUGUGUGUGUGUGUGUGUGUGUGUGUGUGUGUGUGUGUGUGUGUGUGUGUGUGUGCGUGCUCUGGAGGCGGAGAAUGAGCUGCUGAUCUCUGACCUGUCAGUGGGAGGAGUGAACGGGUCUUUAAAGCAGGUCCUCUCCGGGCCUCCGUAGACGUGGGCCUCUGUAGCAGCUGCUGUGUAGGAAGUGAACUGGGAGCCUCUUACAUAAAAGCCAACGCUGAUCACACGCUGUGUCAAAGAUGCUGUCAGCCACGCUGGAUGCCAGCGGCUCUCCGAAGAAACGGGUGUUAUCUCGGGGACUCAGUGAGGACGAGUCUCUGCGCAGCAUCAUUUCCGAGUCUGAGCAGGACUUCUUCAUGGGACUUCCAGAAAUGGUGGAGCUGCAGGCCAGCUACGAUGAGGUAGUGCAAGAGCUGCGUGGGCUGGAGGUGGAGCGAGAGACUCUGUUGUUCCAGGUGGACGUCCUGCAGGACACGUUGGAGGGUGUGGAGGAGCUGCUGGCUGAGGCCCAGAGGGAAGCUGGACACGCGUCUCUGGAACUGGAAAGGGAGAGGGAGGCAAAGAAAAAAUUGGAGAGCAUUGUUUCCUCUUUGAUGCAAGAAGUAGAGAGAUUAAAAGAGGAAAGAAAUACAGGACCACCUGCUCCAGCAAACGAGACGAAUGAAGCAGUGAGUCGAGGGCACCAAACAACAAACACCAUGGGAUUGAUUAGAGUUGUACACGGGGAAGAAACCAGCUCCUUGCUGUGUGAGCCUCGCAACAGUGGGGGUCUGGCAGCUGCAGAGAAGGGGGGGCAGGGUGAAGGGUCAAAGGAUAUGGGAAGUGCCCCAACUGAGCUGUGGAAGCCUCUGGGACACCUGCCCUCCCUCGCUCUGGAAACGGCAGCCUUUGUAGACGGGGUCUUUCAGAGACCUUACGAGGACGAACCAGAGCUCUCUGCUGACACCAACGACUCUGACAGCAUAAGUGCCUACGAGGAUGCAUCUGCUGAGACUCCAGAGCAGGACGUCGUCUUCCCUGGAGAUGAAGAUGUCGCUGAUUCAGAGAUUAAAGGAAUGAACAGAAAUGGAAACCCACAAACCAAUGGCGGUGAGAACCAGGAGCCCAAAAACCCAGAUGCCUGCAUUGUGUCUUAACUUUGUGUUUUCUAUCCACUGCUGUUCAAAAGGGUAUGUUUAUCAUCUGAUGAUAGACCAACUCAAAUAUUCUGGGUUACAUAGGAGUCUAAGCUCUGGUGUGCAGGUUUACAGCCGUCAGUUUGUUUGUGCACAUUUUUAAUAGCAAAAUCUCAACAUACCUUUUCCAGUGAAACAACUUCUUGUUUUUUUCCCAGUUUAAUUUAUUUAGUAUUAGAUGUUUGAAACCUUCCUCAGUUGUGCAACACUGCUGUAGAAGAUGUCAAAUCUUCACAACUUUGAAACUUGCGAUGAAGAUGCUGUAGUUACAUCUAAUAUCUUCAUUUAUUGAAGACAAACAUUUUUUUUUUCUUCAAUUAAAAAUGAGGAAGCCUGUUUUUUUUUGUUUUUGUUUGAUAGUUAUAUAUGUUGGUAGCUGCUGAAAUGUAAGUUAGAAUUGAUUUGCAUCCCGGACAGAGAGCUCUUUAUGGGACUUGAGUGCAAACAAAUUUGACUUCUGGUUCAUUGGUUAAUUUUUUUCUGAGCAAAUGUCAAAAUCAUUCCAUAGGGCGUCUGUCUCUCCUGUCACUGCAGAGAAAACGUUCAAUCUUUGUGUGAACCUAAAGGGAGGCAUGUUUGCAUUUGAAAAGAGGGAUUUUAUCGAUUUUGAUCUAAAUAACAGACGACUGCAGUCUGUCUCACUAGUUCAGUUUUUUUUUUUUUUUUUAAAUCUCGUCAGUUUAAAAAAAAAAAGAAAUUGAAACGUGUGCUGUUACAUUUGCACUUUUUAAAAUUCGAUCUCAUAAUUGCCUGGAUUCCCUUUACAACCAGAGUGUGUUACCUGGGCUGCCUCAGCCCGCUCGCUGAUAACUGUAUGUUUGCACAUUUGCAGAGUAACUUAAGGAAGUGUCUUUGUUUCUGUAAGCAAUUUAUAUCCAAACACUUUUUAUUGUGUAUUUUAUUGUAGGCGAUGGUGGACUUUUUUCACCUGAUUUGAUAUUACUUGCAUGAGCACCUAAGA
ensembl:lncRNA leucine-rich repeat flightless-interacting protein 1-like